AUUGAACGCAGGCGGCAGGCCUAACACAUGCAAGUCGAGCGGAUGAAGAGAGCUUGCUCUCUGAUUUAGCGGCGGACGGGUGAGUAAUGCCUAGGAAUCUGCCUGGUAGUGGGGGAUAACGUCCGGAAACGGGCGCUAAUACCGCAUACGUCCUACGGGAGAAAGCAGGGGACCUUCGGGCCUUGCGCUAUCAGAUGAGCCUAGGUCGGAUUAGCUAGUUGGUGAGGUAAUGGCUCACCAAGGCUACGAUCCGUAACUGGUCUGCGAGGAUGAUCAGUCACAAUGGAACUGAGACACGGUCCAGACGCCUACGGGAGGCAGCAGUGAGGAAUAUUGGACAAUGGGCGAAAGCAUGAUCCAGCCAUGACGCGUGUGUGAAGAAGGUCUUCGGAUUGUAAAGCACUUUAAGUUGGGAGGAAGGGCAGUAAGUUAAUACCUUGCUGUUUUGACGUUACCGACAGAAUAAGCACCGGCUAACUUCGUGCCAGCCGCCGCAGUAAUAC
rnacentral:rRNA from 1 species